UACAGAGGGUGCAAGCGUUGUUCGGAAUUAUUGGGCGUAAAGGGCGCGUAGGCGGUGCGGUAAGUCUGUAGUGAAAUCUCUGGGCUCAACUCAGAGUCUGCUGCAGAAACUGCCGUGCUUAGUGUGGGAGAGGUGAGUGGAAUUCCCGGUGUAGCGGUGAAAUGCGCAGAUAUCGGGAAGAACACCCGUGGCGAAAGCGGUUUCUAAGCCUACUCCAGACGCUGAAGGCACGAAAGCCAAGGGGAUCAAAACAGGG
rnacentral:rRNA from 1 species